rnacentral:rRNA from 1 species
UAGGGAAUAUUGGGCAAUGGGCGGAAGCCUGACCCAGCCAUGCCGCGUGAAGGAAGACGGCCUUAUGGGUUGUAAACUUCUUUAUUAUGGGAC